CGCCCUUAGAGUUUGAUCAUGGCUCAGAAUGAACGCUGGCGGCGCGCCUAACACAUGCAAGUCGAGCGAGAAAGUUUCUUCGGAAAUGAGUACAGCGGCGGACGGGUGAGUAACACGUGAGAAUCUGCCCUUCAAUGAAGGAUACCCUCGAGAAAUCGAGGUUAAUACUGCAUACGUCCCUUCGGGGAGAAAGAUGGCUUAUUUAGCUGUCGUUGAAGGAUGAGCUUGCGGCCUAUCAGUUUGUUGGCGGGGUAAUGGCCCACCAAGACUAUGACGGGUAGCCGGCCUGAGAGGGUGAUCGGCCAGAUUGGAACUGAGACACGGUCCAGACUCCUACGGGAGGCAGCAGUGAGGAAUCUUGCGCAAUGGGCGAAAGCCUGACGCAGCGACGCCGCGUGGAGGAUGACGGUCUUCGGAUUGUAAACUCCUGUUAAGUGGGAAGAAAGAAUCGUUCUUAAUAGGAACGAGUGAUGACGGUACCAUUAGAGAAAGCACCGAAGGGCGAAUUCGUUUAAACCUGCAGGACUAGUCCCUUUAGUGAGGGUUAAUUCUGAGCUUGGCGUAAUCAUGGUCAUAGCUGUUUCCUGUGUGAAAUUGUUAUCCGCUCACAAUUCCACACAACAUACGAGCCGGAAGCAUAAAGUGUAAAGCCUGGG
rnacentral:ncRNA from 1 species